CAUGGUAGAAAGGAAAAUUGCUAUUGUGCUUUCAACUUGUGUAAUUAACUUCUCUUUAGGGAAGCAGAGCAAGAUAAGAAAAUAGUUUGACCUCAGCAGAACUUAGGCACAGGAACAUAUGUCUCACUAGUCAGCACUACCCCCAAACACAAAUAUUUCAAGGUGGGGCAAGCAGGGCAAUAGCAACUGAACUGUGCCAUUCUGUCCUCCUCUGCUUGAGAGAGGCAGUGUAUUUAUUGAAGGAAAUGGCUCUGCUGAACUAGUGCUGGUGCUGUUCCAAGCCCAUUGGUGAUUACCUUUUCCAUGGGGAUUGAAAUGAAUGCAUUAUAUUUUAAAAUAAGCUUAUUAACUGCUGCUGCUAUUCAGAAUUUCUGUCUGUUAGUUGUUUGUUCAGCUGGACAUACAGCUUCUGUCUUAACUGCACAGAGAGGCACUAGAUCAGGUUUAAGUUGGCUUAGGUUCUCCUCCCGUUUUUCCCCCUCAUAUUAGUGAGCUUAUUUUCUUUCUAAUCUUCAACUCUGUAGUGCAUAAAGGAUGUCUAUAAAUACUAACCCUAAAUAUAAAAUGAAUCGACAUUUAUUCUGCAUGACUGGGAAAGAAAUAAUGUAUUAAUUACUGAGAUCCAGGAAUUGCUUCUAAAUUUCUGACUAUUUAACCCAGACCUCAAAAAGCUGCUGGGCUAGAGCCAGCUGGUGUGUAUUUGGAGAGGAGAGGGAGCAGCAGGGAGGAAAAGAUCAAAAAGAGGAAGUCAUCUACAGGGUCAAAAUCAUCCAGGUUGGAUCUGGAAUCUGAUUCAAAUCUAACUUUCCUCAAACCAUGAGGGAAAUGACCUAAGACUGCAUUUCAAGUGAACAGGCUUGGACUUCUAAAGUGAACUGAUUUAUGAAGAGACUGGAUAGUUGUGAAAGCUGAAUUGCACCUGCACUGCAGGUGUAGAGGAUUUUGGCCAGAGUUGCAGUUCUUGGAGACCACGGUCAUUACUGAAGGUCCUGGGCACACAUUUCUGUUGGAAUGCAACUGAUGUCAUGGAAAAACAGGACCUUCCUGGUAACUCUUAACAACCAGAAGUAUAGUAAACAGUAAAUGUUACCUCCAUCAAGAUACUGGACUUUAAAGAGACUUAAUGGGAUGGUGUCCAUGUGCCAAGAAACAUAAACUUUUACUGAUUUAACUACAGUUUUCGUAAAAGCACUAGCCUGCUGCUGAGGUUUAGCUAUGAUUUUGAUAUGCCUAAUAAAACUAGAAAUAGUUCUGUUUAAAUCUUCAAAUAGCCUGAAUUUACUGUUCUUUCCAUCGCCUAACAGUUUUACGGUCUUUCACAUUAGAAAUCAGUAAUGGUAUGUUAGUUACAAGGGAAAUAGCACUGUAAUUUUCAUGAUUUGCAAAACACCGUUUCUUUCCAAGGUGUAUUUUUCCUCUAAUUAAAUGAAUGAACUGAUUUUUUUUCAUACAGAGCUGUGUAGAAGUGUAGAACCGUUCAACUCCAUUUUUUGUUUUUAAAAAGUUUGUUCUCAGCUUAAAACUGUUUUGCUCCUGUAGUGUUACUCAUGACUUAUGGGACAAUUUAGGAGUUUGCCAUCUGAGGAGCAUUCAUUUAUUUACAAGAUUUGUAUUGUUUACUUUUUUUAUCUGUUGAUUGAAAACCACACUGCUUUGACCUUGCAGUAUAAAGCUUUACUUUUCUUUUUAAACAGACACAAAGGAGUGGAGAAAGUUGAAUAGCCCAAAUCAUACCAACACGUUGUCUUUUUGAGAGCACCAGUGUAGCUCUUAGUACACUUUUUAACGACCAAAUUGACUACGAGAUACUGUAUGCACAUCUGGUACCUUUUGGUUUAAAUCUUGAGAUUGUUUUCAGUUCUUUUGUGGUUCUAGAGGGGACAUACAUUAAGUAUUGUCACUUAACGAUACUUUUGGAGGACAGAACUAAUGUUUUUUUAUUGGCUUCAAGCCAUGCUUUCCUUGCACUUAGAUGAGGACCUGAAACAACUUCCUGUAGUAUAACAGUGCUGUAGGACCAGUUUUGCACUUGAUUUGCAUUGGACUUGGUAUUCCUUAAGAUAACUGCAAACAGGACUCUAAAUAUAGGAACAGGAGGCUUAAAAAUAAAUAAAAUUGUAGGGAAACAUUUGGGAAAUAUCCAGCCACUGUACAUAGGGUUUGAUCACGUCUCAGGACAGUAUGAGAAAUGAAGGUUUUCUUCUCUGGUUUUCUGAGUUUCUUGAUUUCCACUUGAGUGUCCAGCUCUUUUUUGAGAAAGGGUGUCAUAGUGCAUUCACUGAUAUCUUAAUGAUCAGCUUCGUGAGUCAGCUUAUGUUUGCCAACAUUUAUCUAGUGAGAUCAGAGCUGCUGUCUGUGAUAAGGCCAAAAUACUGCUGAUUCAGUGAUCUGGUACCUUGAGUCUUCCCACCAUCCUAGAAGAAAAUGUUCUGUGAUCCACUGCAAAUCUCUGUGCCUCCUCUUUUUAUUAGAAUUAGGUUAUCUGAUUCUAGUUGUGACAACAUAAAUGUCUAUUUCUAGUUGUUGUGUCUAACAAGAACAUUAGUAAUCCAUUCUGUAACCUUUUUUUUUUUGUCACUGCUGUGUACUCCAAUAGCUUGUAAGUCAUAGCAACGUAGUGCAUCCCGCUUAACCCGCUGGAGUUUAAAGCACAACAAUUUUUGAAAUUAAGAGAAAACUGACAUUUUGGGGUAGAAGAAGGAGAAUGAUGAAGCCAUUUCUGGUAGAUUUAUUUGUUUUAAAACAGUAGCUGUUCAAGUUGUUUAAAAGUUAGAAAUAUUAGAACUAGACCUAACAUUAUUGAGCAAUCUAUGAGCAGAACAGUGAAAUUAUAUAAAUAAAUAGGAAAAAAAAGCCAUUUCUUCCAUAGAAUCUUCUAGAGUCCAAACUACGUGGACCUCCCUUACUUGUGUAGGCCUGUGUCACAUUCAGUUCUGAACAGAGACAAAAGUUGUAUAUUUUAUGACCUAGAAAAGACAGAGAGAAAUAUAUUUUAGAUCUUCUGAUCAUCUGAACAGCAUUCUUCUUUUAAAUCACUGGGAGAAGGAGAACAGAGAAAUCCAGGAAGAAGCUUAAGAAUCAGCUGGGCUUUCCAAAGGUGGCUUCAAUGCUAGCAGUCAGCACUGUGGGUCUCUCUUUAUUUAACCUCUGAUAGGCAAGGCCUGCAAUUUCACUUUUUACUUAAGAGUUUUUUUUUUUCUGAAGUUCAGGUGCUUUCUGGGCAGUCUGUGGAACUUGUUGGUUAUUGUAUCCUUACAAUUGCAUUUGCUUAAAUACCUGGAAAGGGCUGUGUUCACAGCAUUGAAAUCGAUUAUCACUGGCUAGAAAAACUUUGGAGCCUCCCAAAAGACUCUUAAUUUAGAUUAGGAAUUGUACUGAAUGCUAUUCUCUUUUUUUUUUUUAGUGGUGUUAUUGAAAACUGCUGCUGAUCU